GUGUUAUAUUAAAACUUUUACAAUAAUCGUUCAUGCACAUGCAAAGGGGGUUUGUUUUGUAAACGUAGACCAAUCUCUUGGCCUACAAGUGGUUCACAGGUUUUUGAAAGAAAUGGGUAGAAAAGGCGUGCACGUUGUCUCUGAAAACAAAGACCAGCAACAACCUCUCCUGGAAUAUUUCGAUAAUGAUCCUUCCGCAGGUUCACCUACGGAAA
rnacentral:misc_RNA from 1 species